rnacentral:rRNA from 1 species
AGUGAACGCUGGCGGUAGGCCUAACACAUGCAAGUCGAACGGCAGCACAGUAAGAGCUUGCUCUUACGGGUGGCGAGUGGCGGACGGGUGAGGAAUACAUCGGAAUCUACUUUUUCGUGGGGGAUAACGUAGGGAAACUUACGCUAAUACCGCAUACGACCUACGGGUGAAAGCAGGGGAGCUUCGGACCUUGCGCGAUUCAAUGAGCCGAUGUCGGAUUAGCUAGUUGGCGGGGUAAAGGCCCACCAAGGCGACGAUCCGUAGCUGGUCUGAGAGGAUGAUCAGCCACACUGGAACUGAGACACGGUCCAGACUCCUACGGGAGGCAGCAGUGGGGAAUAUUGGACAAUGGGCGCAAGCCUGAUCCAGCCAUACCGCGUGGGUGAAGAAGGCCUUCGGGUUGUAAAGCCCUUUUGUUGGGAAAGAAAAGCAGCAGGUUAAUACCCCGCUGUUCUGACGGUACCCAAAGAAUAAGCACCGGCUAACUUCGUG